UACAGAGGCUCCAAGCGUUAUCCGGAAUCACUGGGCGUAAAGGGUGCGUAGGCGGUUUUGUUAGUCUUUUGUUAAAACCCUCGGCUCAACCGAGGACAGGCAAGGGAAACGGCAUAACUUGAGGAUGUGAGAGGUGUGCGGAACUCAUAGUGUAGGGGUGAAAUCCGUUGAUAUUAUGGGGAACACCAAAUGCGAAGGCAGCACACUGGCACACUCCUGACGCUGAGGCACGAAAGCGUGGGUAGCGAACGGG
rnacentral:rRNA from 1 species